rnacentral:hammerhead_ribozyme from 1 species
AUCGCUGACAAGUCCGACAUAGGACGAAAUGCGCAUCCCGGAU